GUGGAAGACCAGAAUUGUCUCACUGCCCUGGAAUCUGUCUAUGUUCAUGAACAGUAGGCCCAUUUCUGGGGUGAGUGUAAUGUUAUCCUCUAGUAUCUCAUUAAGUAAACUUUCUACCAUCUCCCAAUAAGGUCGAAGUGUCUCACAAGACCACCAUAUGUGGUACAUUGUACCUUCUGGCCCCCACACCUCCAGCACUCAGCUGAUGCUCCUGGAUACAUUUUUGCCAGUUUCACUGGCACCAUGUACCACCUGUAAUAUACCUUGCGAAUUAACUCUAG